rnacentral:rRNA from 1 species
GUGGGGAAUAUUGGACAAUGGGCGCAAGCCUGAUCCAGCCAUGCCGCGUGAGUGAUGAAGGCCUUAGGGUUGUAAAGCUCUUUCACCGGUGAAGAUAAUGACGGUAACCGGAGAAGAAGCCCCGGCUAACUUCGUGCCAGCAGCCGCGGUAAUACGAAGGGGGCUAGCGUUGUUCGGAAUUACUGGGCGUAAAGCGCACGUAGGCUGAUAUUUAAGUCAGGGGUGAAAUCCCGGGGCUCAACCCCGGAACUGCCUUUGAUACUGGGUAUCUUGAGUAUGGAAGAGGUCAGUGGAAUUGCGAGUGUAGAGGUGAAAUUCGUAGAUAUUCGCAGGAACACCAGUGGCGAAGGCGGCUGACUGGUCCAUUACUGACGCUGAGGUGCGAAAGCGUGGGGAGCAAAUAGGAUUAGAUACCCCAGUAGUCC